rnacentral:rRNA from 1 species
UACAGAGGUCCCAAGCGUUGUUCGGAUUCACUGGGCGUAAAGGGUGCGUAGGUGGUGAGGUAAGUCGGAUGUGAAAGCUCGGAGCUCAACUCCGAAAUGGCAUUGGAAACUACCUUGCUCGAGGGUUGGAGGGGGGACUGGAAUGCUUGGUGUAGCAGUGAAAUGCGUAGAUAUCAAGCGGAACACCAGUGGCGAAGGCGAGUCCCUGGACAACUCCUGACACUGAGGCACGAAAGCCAAGGGAGCAAACAGG